GAUGAAGAACGUAGCGAAAUGCGAUAAGUAAUGUGAAUUGCAGAAUUCAGUGAAUCAUCGAAUCUUUGAACGCACCUUGCACCCUUUGGCAUUCCGAAGGGUAUGCUCGUUUGAGUGUCAUUGUACUCUCACUCUCCCGAUCUUUGGAUCGGGAGUGGUGGACUUGGGUGUUGCUGCUUUACCGUGGCUCACCUCAAAUGGAUUCGUGCAACUCCUCGUUGGACAUAGUACGGCGUGAUAAGUGUCUUCGCCGGCACCUCACUAGAGGGUGGCUGACCGGGAGCUCUGUGCUUCAAACCGUCUUCGGACAACAACUGACAACUUGACCUCAAAUCGAGUAGGACCACCCGCUGAACUUAAGCAUAUCAAUAAGCGGAGGA
rnacentral:misc_RNA from 1 species